rnacentral:rRNA from 1 species
GAUGAACGCUGGCGGCGUGCCUAAUACAUGCAAGUCGAGCGAACGGACGAGAAGCUUGCUUCUCUGAUGUUAGCGGCGGACGGGUGAGUAACACGUGGAUAACCUACCUAUAAGACUGGGAUAACUUCGGGAAACCGGAGCUAAUACCGGAUAAUAUUUUGAACCGCAUGGUUCAAAAGUGAAAGACGGUCUUGCUGUCACUUAUAGAUGGAUCCGCGCUGCAUUAGCUAGUUGGUAAGUUAACGGCUUACCAAGGCAACGAUGCAUAGCCGACCUGAGAGGGUGAUCGGCCACACUGGAACUGAGACACGGUCCAGACUCCUACGGGAGGCAGCAGUAGGGAAUCUUCCGCAAUGGGCGAAAGCCUGACGGAGCAACGCCGCGUGAGUGAUGAAGGUCUUCGGAUCGUAAAACUCUGUUAUUAGGGAAGAACAUAUGUGUAAGUAACUGUGCACAUCUUGACGGUACCUAAUCAGAAAGCCACGGCUAACUACGUG